rnacentral:rRNA from 1 species
CCCCUAGAUGUUCUGGGCCGCACGCGCGCUACACUGAACAGUUCAACAAGUCUUAACCUUGGCCGAUAGGUCUGGGUAAUCUUUGAACGCUGUUCGUGAUUGGGAUAGACCUUUGCAAUUAUGGGUCUUCAACGAGGAAUUCCUAGUAAGCGCAAGUCAUCAGCUUGCAUUGAUUACGUCCCUGCCCUUUGUACACACCGCCCGUCGCACCUACCGAUUGAAUGGUCCGGUGAAAUCUCGGGACGGCGGCUUGGUCGCUUGCGUCCGACUGCUGAAACUUGAUUAAACCAUAUCAUUUAGAGGAAGGUGAAGUCGUANCA